AGAAGUUUCAGUAUCACUUGGUUAGUGAGUCGCCAUCGUCAUUAUGAAGCUGUUGAUGCUGCAGGUGCUCGCCACCGCCAUGGUGGCCGUUCAGGCUUGCAGAGAAAGGGGUGAAUGCCACGAACUGAUGCACGAUGUGAUGCACAAGGAAAACAUGAUGGAAAUCAUAGGAACCUGUAUGGAGGAAAAUGGAAUCGUCCCUGACC